rnacentral:rRNA from 1 species
UACAGAGGGUGCAAGCGUUGUUCGGAAUUAUUGGGCGUAAAGCGCGUGUAGGCGGCUUUGCAAGUCGGGUGUGAAAGCCCUCAGCUCAACUGAGGAAGUGCGCCCGAAACUGCAGAGCUUGAGUACCGGAGAGGAUGGUGGAAUUCCCGGUGUAGCGGUGGAAUGCGUAGAGAUCGGGAAGAACAUCAGUGGCGAAGGCGGUCUGCUGGGCCGUUGCUGACGCUGAGGCGCGACAGCGUGGGGAGCAAACAGG